AACCGUUAACACCGUAGGGUUUACACUUUGCAUUGCUCGCUGUCCUUCGCCUCUCUUCCUCUGCUUCUCCUUAGCUUCUCACACCACCAUGGACUGAAGCCUCUUUGGCAAUCGUUCGAGCCACAGCAGCAGCUACAUCAGCUCAAGCAUUGCUCGAGUAUGAUCAACGAUGUUGGUGAUGGUAGUAGGAACCCACCCUUCAGGACCGAGGUUAGAUCUUCUCAAUCAGCGUGUAGUAAAUCUGCUCCAUAGAUUUGCACUGAGACUCCUCAAAGCUUGUACCAUAUAUUUAAUAACAGUGAGAUGUUAAUCACAAGAAUAUUUACGAUUUUAUUCAA